ncrna:unclassified sequences 6A RNA
AGAUAUGUUCGUACAGUAGCGAACAGGGUAAUAAAAAGAAAUACUAACUAAGA